GAUGAAAGGAAGGAAAGACCUUGCGAAUGAAAGUAGCAUCUUCCUAAGUAGCAUCUGAUUGGGGUAAGUUAGUCCACUUGAUCAACCACUGGACGACUGGUUCAUUGUUCCUAGGAAUCAUCCGCCUCUCCAAGAUAAUUUCUGGUGCUACUUUGAUAAGCCCUUUGUCAUCCACAAGAGGAUCUCCUUUGCAAUGUCAUUAGGGCAGUCAGGUAGGACUACUUCAACAAUCAUAGGAGGAGGAAAAUCAUAUAAAACCUGGAAUGGUGUCAUAUUUAGAGAAGUGUGAAAAGAAGUGUUGUACCACCAUUCAGCUGAUGAAAGCUAAUAGAACCAUUUUCUAGGAGCAGUAAAACACAUACAUCAGAGAUAAUUUUCUAGACAUUGAUUAACUCUUUCUGUUUGGCCAUAUGUUUGUGGAUGAUAGGCUCAGCUCAAAUGUAACUUGAUACCCAAUGCUUUGAAGAGUGAUUGCCAUAUAGCACUUGUAAAAA